rnacentral:rRNA from 1 species
GACGAACGCUGGCGGCGUGCCUAAUACAUGCAAGUCGAGCGAAGAGUUUCUGGUCUUUGCCCUAGGAAAACUUAGCGGCGAGCGGGAGAGUAACACGUAAAGAACCUGUCUCAUAGUCUGGGAACACUGUGGGAAACGAUAGCUAAUACGGUAUUACAGUAAUUCUCGCAGGUGAGUUGUUUAAGAGUUUGUUAUGGUAACACAUUGAUAUGUCUUCGCGGUGCAUUAGCUAGUUGGUGGGGUAAGGGCACACCAAGGCAACGAUGCAUAGCCGACCUGAGAGGGUGAUCGGCCACACUGGGACUGAGACACGGCCCAGACUCCUACGGGAGGCAGCAGUAGGGAAUCUUCCGCAAUGGGCGAAAGCCUGACGGAGCAACGCCGCGUGAGUGAAGAAGGAUUUCGGUUCGUAAAGCUCUGUUGUUAGGGAAGAAUGGAUAUGUAGUAACUAUAGCUGUAAGUGACGGUACCUAACCAGAAAGCCACGGCUAACUACGUG